AUUGAACGCUGGCGGCAGGCCUAACACAUGCAAGUCGAACGGUAACAGGAAGCAGCUUGCUGCUUUGCUGACGAGUGGCGGACGGGUGAGUAAUGUCUGGGAAACUGCCCGAUGGAGGGGGAUAACUACUGGAAACGGUAGCUAAUACCGCAUAACGUCGCAAGACCAAAGAGGGGGACCUUAGGGCCUCUUGCCAUCGGAUGUGCCCAGAUGGGAUUAGCUAGUAGGUGGGGUAACGGCUCACCUAGGCGACGAUCCCUAGCUGGUCUGAGAGGAUGACCAGCCACACUGGAACUGAGACACGGUCCAGACUCCUACGGGAGGCAGCAGUGGGGAAUAUUGCACAAUGGGCGCAAGCCUGAUGCAGCCAUGCCGCGUGUAUGAAGAAGGCCUUCGGGUUGUAAGGUACUUUCAGCGGGGAGGAAGGGAGUAAAGUUAAUACCUUUACUCAUUGACGUUACCCGCAGAAGAAGCACCGGCUAACUCCGUG
rnacentral:rRNA from 1 species